GCGCCCUCGAGCGAGGUUUCGUGCCCUCAGAGCGAGAAACAGUCGCCCGACUCUGUUCCCUCCUUCGCCCGCCGCCUCCCUUCGUCCCUUCACCGCCGCCGCCCGUCGUCCCUUCGCCGCCCCCGCUCCAUCCAUUCGCCAUCUCCCUGGCACUUAUCCGGCGCGUAAAUCGCACAUCACAAGCGCCGGCCUCCACUGAUCCGGCGCUGGUCCAGGAUCCGGCGCCAAUCCUGGUCAGGACCCAUCGCCGGAGACGUCCAGGACAUCCAGGAUCUGGCUACACCUUUCACCAGCCGCCGCCGAGGAGCCCUACGCCGUAGCCAAGAUCCGAGAGGAGCAGCCGCCGCCGAGAUCCGAGAGGAGCAGCCACCGCCGAGGUUCGAGAGGAGCUGGCCACCACGACCUCCCUCCCCAGCCAGCCGCCACCACCUCCUCCCUCACCCCCUCCCUCACCCCCUCCCCCACGUGCCUGGCAUAGGUGGGUCUCAGCCUCCCUCCUACCUCCGUCCAAGGCUAGGAACUCCCCUCCCCUCCCGAUCUCCUCCCUUCGUCCAAGGCCACGAGCUCCCCUCCCCUACCCGAUGUGAUGAAGAGAGGGCCAGGCCUUGCCACUCCGGUGUUCGAUGUGGCCAGAUCCAGCCGGGGGACUCGCCGCAGAGCCUCCAUGUCGGCGGAGCAGCAGCAGCCCAACAGAAGGAUUUAGAAUUAUGACAAGGAGUCAGGGACACAAUCAGAUUUAUACCAUCCGUUGUGAUGAUACAAGGAAAGUAAACAUAUACGCAUAUUGUGUUCAACGUGAUGAUACAAGCGAAAGAUGGCCUACGCCGCCAACUGAUCUGCGCCAGCGUGGAAGGAGUGUUCAAAAGCAGCAGGAACAGUUGUUCCACUGCUGGUCAGAGGGAGAGCUUGGCAAGGGAGAUAGAGGGAGCUCUACAACCACGAUCUUGGCAUACAACCCGAUGGCAUCAUGCCCACUUAAGCUUCUUCCAUGUUCCAAUUCUUGCAUUUGUUGGUCUUUUACUGUCAGAGCUUACGAAAUCCAUUACAAAUGGAGGUGAGGCCAAGUCGUGAACUUGCUGAGAUGUCUUUGGCUUGAAUUAUAAGGCUUGAAUCUAAAUGGAGGUGAGGCCAAGUCUUGAACGAAUACUAAGCUGGAAGAAUUCCACGAUAGACCAUUGCUUCAAGGUUGGGAGCGGCCACAACAUAAUUGACAUCAAAACCAGAUCUGGGUCCUACAUAUCCGGUCUUGCUC